rnacentral:rRNA from 1 species
AGUGAACGCUGGCGGUAGGCCUAACACAUGCAAGUCGAACGGCAGCACAGUAAGAGCUUGCUCUUACGGGUGGCGAGUGGCGGACGGGUGAGGAAUACAUCGGAAUCUACUUUUUCGUGGGGGAUAACGUAGGGAAACUUACGCUAAUACCGCAUACGACCUACGGGUGAAAGCAGGGGAUCUUCGGACCUUGCGCGAUUGAAUGAGCCGAUGUCGGAUUAGCUAGUUGGCGGGGUAAAGGCCCACCAAGGCGACGAUCCGUAGCUAGUCUGAGAGGAUGAUCAGCCACACUGGAACUGAGACACGGUCCAGACUCCUACGGGAGGCAGCAGUGGGGAAUAUUGGACAAUGGGCGCAAGCCUGAUCCAGCCAUACCGCGUGGGUGAAGAAGGCCUUCGGGUUGUAAAGCCCUUUUGUUGGGAAAGAAAAGCAGCAGGUUAAUACCCCGCUGUCCUGACGGUACCCAAAGAAUAAGCACCGGCUAACUUCGUG